rnacentral:rRNA from 1 species
UACGGGGGGGGCGAGCGUUGUUCGGAAUUACUGGGCGUAAAGGGCGCGUAGGCGGUCUGCUAAGUUGGAUGUGAAAACUCUGGGCUUAACCCAGAGCCUGCAUUCAAUACUGACAGGCUAGAGUUCUGGAGGGGAUAGCGGAAUUCCUGGUGUAGCGGUGAAAUGCGUAGAUAUCUGGAGGAACACCGGUGGCGAAGGCGGCAUCCUGGACCAAUACUGACGCUGAGGAGCGAAAGCCAGGGGAGCAAACGGG